rnacentral:rRNA from 1 species
UACGUAGGUGGCAAGCGUUGUCCGGAUUUACUGGGCGUAAAGAGCGCGCAGGCGGUCGUUCAAGUCGCGUGUGAAAGCCCCCGGCUCAACUGGGGAGGUCACGCGAUACUGAUCGACUCGAAGGCAGGAGAGGGUAGUGGAAUUCCCGGUGUAGUGGUGAAAUGCGUAGAGUAUCGAUCGGAACACCCAUGGCGAAGGCAGCUCGCUGGCCUGCAACUGACGCUGGAGGCGCGAAAGCGUGGGGAGCAAACAGG